AUUCAUUCAGCUUUUGUUGUUUAGAGCAUAGUGCUGAUAACGCCAAGAUUGCAGGUUCAAUCCCUGUAUGGGACA